GUUGAUGGCUCAGUUGGUAAGAGCAGUUGCACCGGCAUCGCAAGGUCCUGGGUUCGAAUCCCGUUCAAGCCU
rnacentral:tRNA from 1 species